GACGAACGCUGGCGGCGUGCUUAACACAUGCAAGUCGAGCGAGGCCCUUCCUUCGGGGAGGUGCCCUAGCGGCGAACGGGUGAGUAACACGUGGGCAAUCUGCCCCCUAGCUCUGGGAUAACUCCGGGAAACCGGGGCUAAUACCGGAUAUGACCUCUGAGGGCAUCCUUGGUGGUGGAAAGUUUUUCGGCUAGGGAUGGGCCCGCGGCCUAUCAGCUUGUUGGUGGGGGUAAUGGCCUACCAAGGCGACGACGGGUAGCCGGCCUGAGAGGGCGACCGGCCACACGUGGGACUGAGAUACGGCCCAGACUCCUACGGGAGGCAGCAGGUGGGGAAUAUUGCACAAUGGGCGCAAGCCUGAUGCAGCCAACGCC
rnacentral:rRNA from 1 species